rnacentral:rRNA from 1 species
UACAGAGGGUGCAAGCGUUGUUCGGAAUUAUUGGGCGUAAAGGGCGCGUAGGCGGUGCCACAAGUCACCUGUGAAAUCUCCGGGCUUAACUCGGAGCCUGCAGGCGAAACUGUGGUGCUGGAGUGUGGGAGAGGUGCGUGGAAUUCCCGGUGUAGUGGUGGAAUGCGUAGAUAUCAGGAGGAACACCAGUGGCGAAGGCGGCUCUCUGGACCGGUUCUGACGCUCAGGCGCGAAAGCGUGGGGAGCGAUCCGG